UGCCAAGCACUGACAUUUUAUCGAACAAAAAUGUCAGCGCGCCUGGAAAGGAAAAAUUUAUAAAAUUUAAUAAAAGUUUAACCCAACUAGGGUUAAACUAAUAGAAAAGAAACCCCUUCAGCAUGCUAUAAAGUUUUAGCAAAUUCAAAACUCAAAUUGUUUCCUUUUUUUGAUAUGGGCAAAUUUCCUUACUCCUAUACAGAUUCUGAUGACGAUGAAGACACAUCAAGUUCAGUCGAAAAUGUUAAGAAGAAAAAGAAGUUCUCUAUUCUCAAGUAUACCAGCGGCAACUUUCGCAAGAAGAAAGGCAAGGUUCAGAGCAAAUCUGAACCCGAGGACAUUGAAAUCCGGAGUCGCCCAAGCAUUCACUUCGGUGGGAAGAAACUUCGCGGCAUUCUGAAGCACACUGAACGAGAUUCCUCAGACGAGGAUGAGGAGAGUGAAUCCAGCCGUGUCACUUUGAAGGACAGAUGCCUUAUCGGUAGAGUGCCACGAACUUCGGGCACUAAGCCGGGGCGAGGUGGUGGGGUUGCUAUCGUUGUCAGGAGAAAUAUGAGUAAUUUACAGGCACAGCAGUCUACCAGCAGUACGAAAAGAAAACGAGCGAUGAAAAGGUUAGGAAGGAAACAAUCAUACUAAAGUAUAUAAAGUGAUACUAUAUUUGUUUAUUUUUACCUUAAUGUUACAUAACAGUGGUUUCAAAAAUAUUGAUCAACUUUUCUGUACUAAUAAACUAAUUCCAAUACAAA